rnacentral:rRNA from 1 species
UACAGAGGGUGCGAGCGUUGUUCGGAAUUAUUGGGCGUAAAGCGUGCGCAGACGGUUUAUAACAUCUCCUGUUAAAUCCCAAGGCUCAACCUUGGGGCCGCGGGAGAUAUGGAUAAACUAGAGGCUGGAAGAGGUAAGCGGAAUUGCUGGUGUAGGGGUUAAAUCCGUUAAUAUCAGCAGGAACACCAAAAGCGAAAGCAGCUUACUGGAACAGAUCUGACGUUCAGGCACGAAAGCGUGGGGAGCGAAUGGG